rnacentral:rRNA from 1 species
UAGGGAAUCUUGCGCAAUGGGCGAAAGCCUGACGCAGCCAUGCCGCGUGAAUGAUGAAGGUCUUAGGAUUGUAAAAUUCUUUCACCGGGGACGAUAGUGACGGUACCCGGAGAAGAAGCCCCGGCUAACUUCGUGCCAGCAGCCGCGGUAAUACGAAGGGGGCUAGCGUUGCUCGGAAUUACUGGGCGUAAAGGGCGCGUAGGCGGACAGCUUAGUCAGAGGUGAAAGCCCAGGGCUCAACCUUGGAAUUGCCUUUGAUACUGGCUGUCUUGAGUGCGGGAGAGGUGUGUGGAACUCCGAGUGUAGAGGUGAAAUUCGUAGAUAUUCGGAAGAACACCAGUGGCGAAGGCGACACACUGGCCCGUUACUGACGCUGAGGCGCGAAAGCGUGGGAGCAAACAGGAUUAGAUACCCUGGUAGUCCACGCCGUAAACGAUGAAUGCUAGUUGUCGGCAUGCAUGCAUGUCGGUGACGCAGCUAACGCAUUAAGCAUUCCGCCUGGGGGAGUACGGUCGCAAGAUUAAAACUCAAAUGAAUUGACGGGGUCAUAGCUGUUUCC